rnacentral:rRNA from 1 species
CGCCUCUUGAUAACUAUAAGAGGUCCAGCCUGCCCAGUGAUAAAUUCAACGGCCGCGGUAUCCUAACCGUGCGAAGGUAGCAUAAUCACUUGUUCUUUAAAUAGGGACUCGUAUCAACGGCAUCACGAGGGUUACACUGUCUCCUCCCUCCAAUCAGUGAAACUGAUCUUCCCGUGAAGAAGCGGGAAUGAAAUAAUAAGACGAGAAGACCCCAUGGAGCUUUAAAUCUAGCAGCAACUCUAUUACAUAAUUCCCCAUAUCUACAGAGUAAUGCAAGUCGGUUUUAGGUUGGGGUGACCGCGGAGUAAAAACUAUCCUCCACGACGAACAGAACUAAAUCUUUAUCUAAGAGUAACCACUCUAAGAAUUAGCACACUAACGAAUCAUGACCCGAUAAUCGAUCAACGGACCAAGUUACCCUGGGGAUAACAGCGCAAUCUGCUUCAAGAGCCCGUAUCGACAAGCAGGCUUACGACCUCGAUGUUGGAUCAGGGUAUCCCAGUGGUGCAGCCGCUACUAACGGUUCGUUUGUUCAACGAUUAAAACCCU